UACGUAGGGGGCAAGCGUUGUCCGGAUUUAUUGGGCGUAAAGAGCGUGUAGGCGGCUUUGCAAGUCCGUUGUGAAAACUCGAGGCUCAACCUCGAGACGCCGGUGGAAACUGCAAAGCUAGAGUCCGGAAGAGGAGAGUGGAAUUCCUGGUGUAGCGGUGAAAUGCGCAGAUAUCAGGAAGAACACCCGUGGCGAAGGCGGCUCGCUGGGACGGUACUGACGCUGAGACGCGAAAGCGUGGGAGCGAACAGG
rnacentral:rRNA from 1 species